GUUGGUGUUAUCUGGUACAGCUGCCUAUUGUGAGCCGAGCACUAGCAAUAAAUUCCUAGUAAUACUAUGUUGCAGAACCUCUCAAGCAGAGGCAAAGCAGUAUGCUCAGAAACGACCACUUGUAGUGCAAAGGAGAUUGAUUAAAUUAAUCAUGCUGUUGUUAUUGACCAUCAUUCUCUUACUUACAGAAUUAUUGAUGAUCCAACGACUCAGCAAUCCUAUUAAGAAAAGUAGAUCCGCAGAUCAUUGAUACUCGGAACAUCAAGGAUAUUGCAGCGAUCAUUUUUUCAUCAUAAAACAUAAAAUGGUGCGGUGUAGAAUGUCAUGAUGAAGUGAUUAGCAAGAAUUUUCUUGAAGGACAAAGCCGACUAUAGAAUUUUCGUUCAUGAAGUUGGUGCCUAAAACAUCUGGAAGUAAGGGAAAUGAAUCUGUUGUAUGUGCGAAAACUUGUAUACACAUAGACUAGUAUGUAGCAUGCAAUUUAUAGGCGAUAUAGUAUAGUAAAGGAAAAGGGUAUAUGAAAAAACGUAGACGAAUUUGUAAGUGUAGUAAGGAAAUGGUUCAUGUGGACUGGGUUUUAUUCAUUUCGAUGAUUUUUGUUGAUAUAGUGCGAUAUGGAUGAAGGAGAAGAGUAUGGAUAUAUUCAUUGACUAUCUCAAUUCACUUUUUCUUGGGACCAUUCUGCGAAUAGAAACGUAAAACAUAUAAAGCCCAACUCGCCGAUUACUUUCUAUACCAUGCUACAAAUUACCAAAGUAUAGAGGAAAACAGAGCUGCUAAACUUUACAGAUUCAACACUAAAUUGAUUCAUUAACGCUU